rnacentral:lncRNA from 1 species
UUUUUAAUUAAUUGAUGUUCUAGUUCAUGUCUACCUCAGCACCUCCUCUUAGCCUACUUUUAGGAGGUUGCCCAAUUUUGUUUCUUCAAUUUUACUGGUUACUUUUUGUACAAAGCCCGAAGCAGUUCACCCGAACUUGUGCGGUCCUGGUUGCAGCUUGCCGCAUCUGCCUUCGUUUCGUGUAGAUGGACGCGUUUCUUUGUAAUUUCAGUGUUCUGACGAG